UACAGUCAUUGAAGAAGCCCAAGGCGGAAGUGUUCUAACUAUCAAGAUUUACUCUAAGUGCCCACAGUUAGGUGGAGAGGAAGCAGAGCAUAAUUUUGUGGGAGUGCGGGGGGCUUGGAGCCUGCCUGCACUGCCCAAACCCAGCAGGUAAGGGGGCUCUCACAUGCCUCCCAACAUGCCCUGGGCUGCUGAAGACUACCAAGUGGAGCUGAAAGGCUGAGCCACCCCUGACUGGCUGGCAGGGACAUCACAGCCACUCACUUGGACCUCAUGUGGCAGUGGCUUGUCAUGGCCAUGAGCUAUCAGCCACCCACCAAAUAUCAAUAAUGAAGCCUGCACUUUCCUGUGGUUGAUAGAAAAAAUAUUCCUGAAGAAACCUUGAGAAAGUACUUUAAUAGCUUGGCUAUGACUUUUCUCGGUGGAGACAUUUGGCUACAUCAGCACCUUAUUCGGGCCAGAUAAAGUUUAAUAUUUCCUCA